GCCAGCAGCCAUAUCACCCUGCAACUCACAACUGGCAGCCCACUGAAGCUCAGAGCCUGGUCAGUACCUGGAUGGGAGACCUCCUGGGAAAAGCUAAGGUUGCUGCAGGAA
rnacentral:rRNA from 1 species